AGAGUUUGAUCCUGGCUCAGGAUGAACGCUGGCGGCGUGCCUAAUACAUGCAAGUCGAGCGAACAGAUAAGGAGCUUGCUCCUUUGAAGUUAGCGGCGGACGGGUGAGUAACACGUGGGUAACCUACCUAUAAGACUGGGAUAACUUCGGGAAACCGGAGCUAAUACCGGAUAACAUUUAGAACCGCAUGGUUCUAAAGUGAAAGAUGGUUUUGCUAUCACUUAUAGAUGGACCCGCGCCGUAUUAGCUAGUUGGUAAGGUAACGGCUUACCAAGGCGACGAUACGUAGCCGACCUGAGAGGGUGAUCGGCCACACUGGAACUGAGACACGGUCCAGACUCCUACGGGAGGCAGCAGUAGGGAAUCUUCCGCAAUGGGCGAAAGCCUGACGGAGCAACGCCGCGUGAGUGAUGAAGGGUUUCGGCUCGUAAAACUCUGUUAUUAGGGAAGAACAAAUGUGUAAGUAACUGUGCACAUCUUGACGGUACCUAAUUAGAAAGCCACGGCUAACUACGUG
rnacentral:rRNA from 1 species